AUUGAACGCUGGCGGCAGGCUUAACACAUGCAAGUCGAGCGGAGACUUCGGUCUUAGCGGCGAACGGGUGAGUAAUACCUAGGAAUCUGCCUAUUAGUGGGGGAUAACGAAUCGAAAGGUUCGCUAAUACCGCAUACGUCCUACGGGAGAAAGGGGGGAGUCUUCGGACCUCUCGCUAAUAGAUGAGCCUAGGCCGGAUUAGCUAGUUGGUAGGGUAAAGGCCUACCAAGGCGACGAUCUGUAGCUGGUCUGAGAGGAUGGCCAGCCACACUGGAACUGAGACACGGUCCAGACUCCUACGGGAGGCAGCAGUGGGGAAUAUUGGACAAUGGGGGCAACCCUGAUCCAGCCGUGCCGCGUGUGUGAAGAAGGCCUCGGUU
rnacentral:rRNA from 1 species